rnacentral:rRNA from 1 species
ACGGAGGGAGCUAGCGUUGUUCGGAAUCACUGGGCGUAAAGCGUACGUAGGCGGUUAUUCAAGUUAGAGGUGAAAGCCUGGAGCUCAACUCCAGAACUGCCUUUAAAACUAGAUAGCUAGAAUCUGGGAGAGGUGAGUGGAAUUCCGAGUGUAGAGGUGAAAUUCGUAGAUAUUCGGAAGAACACCAGUGGCGAAGGCGGCUCACUGGACCAGUAUUGACGCUGAGGUACGAAAGCGUGGGGAGCAAACAGGAUUAGAUACCCUGGUAGUCCACGCCGUAAACGAUGAUAACUAGCUGCCAGGGCUCUUGGAGCUUUGGUGGCGCAGCUAACGCAUUAAGUUAUCCGCCUGGGGAGUACGGUCGCAAGAUUA